GCUCUCACCCCAACCCUCUUCUCAUUCUGAGAUGUAUCUGGCACCCAGCUGAGGUCGGGGACAACCUGUCUCUGAGACUAUAGGGAAACAAAGGAGCUUUCAUCCAGCCCCAGGGGAUCUGCUUUGGAUGCUGUGCACUUCCUUGUACACAGACGUCAAGUCUCUCAUUAAUCACAGGGAAACCUUGCCAGGUGGCAGGAGACGGAAGGAAGGCAGCCACCCAUGCCCACUGAGCCGGGUUCCAUUUAUGUGCUUUUUCCCUUGGCCAUAGAGGGGUCAUCUUAGUCCAGUGUGACUUCCUAUUAGGCACACAAAAGGUUGACUAAAACUAGACAAUGAAAUGCUCAAAUCCAGUUCGCCAGCUACAUCCUGAUAUGCUGACAGCGAGAUGAAGUGAGGACACCGCUGCGGUCUCCUGCCCAUCACUGGAACUUGUCUUUGAGGGGCCUCUGUGGACACCAUGA